AAGCUGGAAUUGCUAGUAAUGGCAGGUCAGCAUACUGCCGUGAAUACGUUCCCGGGCCUUGUACACACCGCCCGUCACACCAUGAGAGUUGGAAAUACCCGAAGCCUGUGAGCUAACUUAAAGAGGCAGCAGUCGAAGGUAGAGCCAAUGAUUGGGGUGAAGUCGUAACAAGGUACC
rnacentral:rRNA from 1 species